rnacentral:misc_RNA from 1 species
GCAAAGUCAGCAUCAAUCUGCUGAUCCCAGGCCGCAUCUUCGCGUUGGCGAAUGAACGCGGCCAGUUCGGUCAGUUCGCCGACCGAAAGGGCUCCGACCGCUUCUUUGAUUUCAGCGAGGCUCACGGUUUUAGAUUAGGCAAAGCCGGUCCGUGUGACAAGGGGAGGGAAAUCGGAAGUCGGAAGGCGUAGUCCCGCGGCCGCGGAACGAAGGCUGGAGGUCAGACGCGGUAAAUCUCGCGGCGGUGGCCGACACCGAGGAGGUGAAUGGUGUUUUGAUCAACAUCCA